GCAGACACAUCCCAGCCAAUCAGCAGCAGACCCUCCCUCCCAGACCCUUCCAUCUCCUGGACAGCUCACUAAGAAUGCAGCUUCACAAUGGAUGCUGUCCAGGAGGUGGGAGGGUCUGGGAGGGAGGGUCUCCUGCUGAUUGGCUGGAAUGUGUCUG